GAGCCAUUAGCUCAGCUGGAAGAGCACCUGACUUUUAAUCAGGGUGUCGGAGGUUCGAAUCCUCCAUGGCUCACCA
rnacentral:tRNA from 1 species